GAAAAAUCCAACGUUUUCCAGUGUGCGGAACCGUAUAAUAGAAAUUUAAAUUUUAUUUUCGAACCCCUACAGCUUCAAUAUUUCAGAUCUAAAGAUGUUGUCCGCAUAUAACCGGUGUGCCGUCGUUUUUAACGAUAUUAUUUUUUUCAAACUAUUGCUUGGAAAAAUUUUUAUUGGCAAUAUAAUAUAUAGAAAAAUAUUUCAAAUUUAUACACCACCGAGCGGAAAAUCCUCGUUUUUCGGUGUGAAAGUUUUCGAACACAUUUUUACUAACCGAAAAAAAGUGUUUUCCGAGAGACAAAAAACUGCACAUCUCGGUCAAGCUAAUAGCUUUUUCGCUCAACACUCGUAUAUAUAAUGUAUAUAUAAUAUAUAUAUAUACAUUUUUUUUUGCAAACGUGUCUUUUUCUAAACGUGACGUUUUUAUAAAUUUCUCAUAACCCUCACGAUUUCAUAUUUUCUUUUCUUUUUUUUUUGUAUUUUUACUAUAUACGCAGCACUAACCGACUAUAAUAUCUA